GCUCCACAAAUGAAGUGGUAAAUUAACUGAAAGAGCCCAGUCAGACUGUGAGGACCUCCACUUCAUGUUUUAAACUGUUGUGUACAACAGUGCAAGAUUCCAAAAAGAAUGUCAGACAAAUAUUGGAGAAAAUAGGGGAAUUUCAAUUAAAACAGGCUAUCACUCUGCAUGCUGUAGGAGAUGGCUUCAUGUGUCACCUCAAGACAAAAAAAAUAAGAAUAAUUCAAAAGGACAUUCAUGUUGUACCGCUAAAUGUUCAAUUUAGGUGACUUAGAAGGAUAACCAGUAUUAGGUAGAUGUGCAUACAACUAAAAAUACAUAGAUCACUCAAAGCAAUGUAAGAUGAUUGAUAACUUUAAUAAACAAAGAUAAAAAUUAGUAGCACAGUACAAGAAGGGGCAAUAGAGUUCUGUACAAUUCUUCCACUUUUUACUUUUAAAUCAAAGCCUGUAUUUUUACUUUUCAGAGGAUAAUAACUCUUAAACAUACAAAAAUAUUCAGGCAUUCCUGUACUUUUCAAUAAAAGAUACUCAUUUACUUGCUUGUUUAUAAAUAUUCAAGACUCACUUUGCUGUUCCAACAUUUUGCAUCUUCCUGGAUUUCUGCUUUUUGCUUCACUAACUCCUCAAGGUGUUUUUCAUCCUUUAUAAUCUUCUCCUCUGUUUCUUUUAACUUCAUACAGUAUUCGGUCCAAAUAAAUUCAGAAUGCUUUAACUCAUUCCUAAUAGAAAUACACACGAAGUGAAUCCAUCUAUCUGGAAAUAUUCCAAGGUAGUCCCUCUCCAUAAAGGAAAAUGUAAAGCAGAUCCGAAUUAGUAAAGAUUUAUUUUGAUUCUCUACUACGUUUCUUGAGCAGAAGAACUUUCACAAGACUGUUGACACCUCAAUACGUGAGAAGUUCAGCCGCAGAGUAACAAACAGAUGUAAUGGGAUAUUAUGAUGGUUCUGAGCCUAUAUUUUUCCUCUUCUACAACAUAUCAAAACAAGACUGAAAAAGUGGUCAAAAACACAACGGAGAAGAUCCGUCUGACAUUCUCUGAGGCCCUUUUCUUGGAAUAGCUAUAAAUACUGCUCUGCUGCUCUCAAUCUAAGAAAAAUACUGCAGACCGCAAGGACAAGAUGACAUUCCAGAGCUGUGAUGGCUACCAAUCAUAUGAAAACUGUUUAAGUGAAGACGCAUUGACCACUGCAUCUCUGACUUCAAGAACCUAGGUUUCUUUAGAACUCAACUGUUUUCCUUAUGAAAAAAAUGGAUAAUUUGCCAGCCCUCAAAUCAGCAUGAAUACAGAGAGUCUUCCUUCCUAUAUUUUAGGGUCCUGAUUAUUGUUUGGUGCUGUGAUAUAUUUUGUUAGUCAUCUGGAUAUAAAAAUAAUAAACUACACCCACAGAAGCUACAGGAUAACAUGGAGAACUUCUGUGAAAAGGAAUUGAAGAUUUAUAGCUGUUGACUGAGAGACUUCAGAGAGCCAUGCAGUAUCUUCAUAUAAUGUGAUGUGUUGCAAACGUAAAGGAACUUAGAAAAAGGCCUUAAAAUCAGAAACAAAGAUACUUGCAAGACCAAGUUUGGCAGCCACCAAGGCACCCAUUACUCACUGACAGUAAACAAGCAUGGUAUCUUGAAAUAUCAUUGUGCCACAUUGUAUAAAAAGCCUACAAGUUUGAUGUUGUGCUUGCUUAUUCCCCAGCUAUAGGAAUAAAAUCUAGUUGGGGAAAAAAGGAAGUUGAAAAAAUAGGUUCACUAACCACAAUGACAUUUAUGCUCUUCCCCUCAUGCAAAAGUAAAAAAUUUCAUGGCUAUAAUACUAUAACACUACUCAGGAAUAUUAUAUAGAUAAAAAAAAAAAAACAAAAAAAAAAAACCACACGUCUGUCAACAUUUGCCAUUCUCCGUUGACACUGAAGAGCUUGAAUCAUACAAGCAAAAAAGCAUACCCUGAUUUCAAGCAGCUAUUGCAUCACAAUUGAUAUAUCUUUGGAUUGCAGCGCAGAAAAGUGAAUUCUGAAAGGAAAAGUAACCUGCCACUAUGGAAUCUGUUCUCUGAUACAUCUUUCCUCUACAUCUGUUGACUGCUUUACUAUCAGUGUAUCUGUUAUUAAAAGAUUCUUGUAAAUGAAGUAGAAAAUUAUUUAUUGUGGAUUCUGCAUUAAAUAGACUCUUGUCAUCUUUGGAACUUCGUUCUUCUCUCUUAGAAAACCCCUUCACUUUGACAACAUUAAGCAUGUCCUCUAGUUUUCAUUUUGUUUAAAUCAGCAGAUUACACAAACCAGAGCGUGGUCACACAGGUCUGAAACUCUAAGUGAUAAGGCAGAAGUGCAGUAAUUUUUCACAGAAGUUCUGUGGUUUGAAAGACAAUUGUCUUUCUCCUGCUUGCCUAUUCUGGAGUACCAUGUAGUUAAGUUUCUUUCUAAUCUUUCAAAGCUCUCCUCAAUACUCACUCUCGUUAGAAUUCAUUAGAAUUUGUAAUCAAGGCUCUGGUAGCCUGCACUCUUAAUUAUAUGCUAUUUGUUGUCAUGUUUUGUUUUUUUAUGCACCAAGAUGAAAGGCAUUUUCAUGUUUCUCUUAACAUCUUAUACGGUGACGAAUAUCUUAUUUGACAAAGCAUAUGGGAGAAAAACAUGCUUUGGGUGUAUUUUAGGUGAUUCCUAACUAUGGAAUAGUCCAGCAAAUGUCUCUUUAUUUCUAAAAGGUUUAAAUUAUUCAGGAAUUGCAAUUUCAGUAGGGGCUGUCAAAAUUAUUAAAAUUACUUUAUUUUUUUCUACAAACUCUUAUCUGAUUUGAUAAAAAAGCUGGGUGAGAUUCUUAAGAAUAAUUUGAUAGGCACUCAAGUCGUACACUACUACUGUUAAAAAAAAAAAAUUGUUCUAUGCAAUCAGGGUAUGUACUUAAAAUGAGUAAUAAAUAUGACCAAAGUACAGAAGUCACAGUAUGUAGAAAAAAACAGAAAAGGUAGAAAGACAAGUGAACAAGUUUCAAGGGCAAAGAAUGGCAUGGUAACCUUAAAAAGAAUAGGUGAUUCCAGCUAAAAAAAAGGUGAUUUUAAGACUGCUGUCAGCAUUUUACACUAUUAAGAGCACAGACAUAAAAAAGCUGUAAUAGUUAAGUGAGAAUUUGGAAAGAGUAGUAAUCCACCCUCAUCACUAAUCUAAGAUUGUCAACGAAUAUGAGUGACAUUUGACAUAUUACACGCUAACAGACAAUGCUAAUACACGCAUGCUUAUAAUUUUCCUCUAGUUACAUGUUUUCCCACAGGCAUCAGAUUUUCAGUCUAGAUUCAGAUGAUACCUACUUCCCACUAUGAUCUGUGAGUCAGAAGACAAAUAGCAAACAGCUGCAAAGUAGAUGCUUUUUUGUUUUUUUCUUUUCUUUUUUAAUUCUAUUGUGUAGAUGCCAGCUAAUCACAGAAGGUAACACUAAAUGUCCUUAGAACCUGGGAUUUUGAGGAACACUAUCAAU
rnacentral:lncRNA from 1 species